ensembl:snRNA U6 U6 spliceosomal RNA
GCUGUGUUUGCUUUAGCAGCACAUACCAAAACUGAAACGAUACAGAGAAGAUGAGCCUGGCCCAUGUGCAAGGAUGACACGCAAAUUCAAGAAGCGUUCUAUAUUUUC